AUUCUCUCCACUCUCAAACUCUCUCGAAGGUUCUUCGUAACCCUAGCCGUCUCCGACCCCUUUCCACUGUACUUUCACCAGAAUCCAUGGCUUCUCAGGCCAUGGAUGUCUAUACUCCCUCAUCUCCACCAUUAGACCUUGGUUGUUCGAAGCUUCGAGGCAUGACCUUGACGAUUCUCUCUCCAAUCUUCUCAGACCUUUGAUUUCAU
rnacentral:lncRNA from 1 species